AGUGAACGCUGGCGGUAGGCCUAACACAUGCAAGUCGAACGGCAGCACAGUAAGAGCUUGCUCUUACGGGUGGCGAGUGGCGGACGGGUGAGGAAUACAUCGGAAUCUACUUUUUCGUGGGGGAUAACGUAGGGAAACUUACGCUAAUACCGCAUACGACCUACGGGUGAAAGCAGGGGAUCUUCGGACCUUGCGCGAUUGAAUGAGCCGAUGUCGGAUUAGCUAGUUGGCGGGGUAAAGGCCCACCAAGGCGACGAUCCGUAGCUGGUCUGAGAGGAUGAUCAGCCAAACUGGAACUGAGACACGGCCCAGAUCCCUACGGGAGGCAGCAGGGGGGAAUUUUGGACAAGGGGCGCAACCCUGAUCCAGCCAUACCGGGUGGGUAAAGAAGGCCUUCGGGUUGUAAAGCCCUUUUGUUGGGAAAAAAAAGCAGCAGGUUAAAACCCCGCUGUUCUGACGGAACCCAAAGAAAAAGCACCGGCAAACUGCGG
rnacentral:rRNA from 1 species